UACGGGGGGGGCAAGCGUUGUCCGGAAUUAUUGGGCGUAAAGGGCUCGUAGGCGGUUUGUCGCGUCGGGAGUGAAAACCCAGGGCUUAACCCUGGGCUGGCUUCCGAUACGGGCAGACUAGAGGUAUGCAGGGGAGAACGGAAUUCCUGGUGUAGCGGUGAAAUGCGCAGAUAUCAGGAGGAACACCGGUGGCGAAGGCGGUUCUCUGGGCAUUACCUGACGCUGAGGAGCGAAAGUGUGGGGAGCGAACAGG
rnacentral:rRNA from 1 species